UUUCCGUAGGUGAACCUGCGGAAGGAUCAUUACCUAGAGUUUGUAGACUUCGGUCUGCUACCUCUUACCCAUGUCUUUUGAGUACCUUCGUUUCCUCGGCGGGUCCGCCCGCCGAUUGGACAACAUUCAAACCCUUUGCAGUUGCAAUCAGCGUCUGAAAAAACAUAAUAGUUACAACUUUCAACAACGGAUCUCUUGGUUCUG
rnacentral:misc_RNA from 2 species